UUGAAAACGUAAGACUCAAAUCCCCUCUUAGUUUUCAUAAAUAGAACAAUCCCUGAGUGUGCAUGGAGUAACUGAGAGACACAAACCACUGAUUGAGCAGAGCAGCUUGCUUGUUGUUGAAAAGCACAGUUAAAUUAGAUGUCUACAUUGAUGUAUAAGAGUAAUGAUGCUGUUUAAGUAUGCUUGCUGGCUAAAGAGCACAAUAUUCUAUUCUGUAGCUUUACAUAUACACUGUAGUUGACAGUGACCAGUCUAAAUUCAUGAUUUGAAUGGCUUAAAUCAAUUCGUGUGUGUAGAGCCACCUUACCUUAUGCCGUUAGGCCUUGCUGGCUAAGAAGGAAAGGUGGCAAGAAUGACAGAGAAUAUUUUAUUACUCCUGGUGGAAAUUGAGAUAUCCCCUGAUCCUAGAAAAGACAUGCCAUUUAUGUGGUGGAAACGUUUAUCAAAAAGGUUCAAGGAUCAGGAUCAAUAAUGUAUAUUGAUUGUGGGCAUGGCUUGGUUUUUUGAUAUUACUUAAAAUGUUCAAUGAUCCAAUCAUCAACUAUUAUUUUUAAUUUUUUGUGUUAGUGGAAAAAAUAUACCGCAAGAACAAUUCAAACUCUCUCCAUUCAGCCCAUUAUGCCAAUUCCUUUUAUCAAGUGGCAUCCCCUUUAAUGAGACAUCCAGCCAUGUAAUAAAAUCUCUCUCUCUCAUUAUCAUAAGAUGCAAAUGGAGUUACAGCUUCACCAUCCUCUUCAGAAUCUGCAGAAGCAGACAGUAAUCAAGAAGGAGAUUCAGCAACAGAACCAACAGAUGCAAAUAGAGACACAGCUUCACCAUCCUCUUCAAAAUUCGCAGAAGCAGACAGUGACAGAAAAGGAGAUUCAGCAACAGGACCAACAGGCAACUCCUCUGUAAACGAGGAAAAGACGAUAGGAAAUUCACUUCACUCUGCUGCAGAGGCCGAUGAUGUUGAUGAAAUUGAAUCCUUGCUCGCCCUUGGAUUUUCCAUUGACUCGAGAGAUGAUGAUGAGGGUCGAACACCAUUAAUGGUGGCUGCUGGGAAGGGCAAGCUAAAGGCUGUGAAGUGUCUGCUUAAACAGGGUGCUGAUCCGUCAUUACAAAGCAACGAAUGUGGAUGGAAUGUGUUGCAUUUUGCCUCAGGGGGUGGAAACUCUGAG